ACGGUAACAGGAAGCAGCUUGCUUCUUUGCUGACGAGUGGCGGACGGGUGAGUAAUGUCUGGGAAACUGCCUGAUGGAGGGGGAUAACUACUGGAAACGGUAGCUAAUACCGCAUAACGUCGCAAGACCAAAGAGGGGGACCUUCGGGCCUCUUGCCAUCGGAUGUGCCCAGAUGGGAUUAGCUAGUAGGUGGGGUAACGGCUCACCUAGGCGACGAUCCCUAGCUGGUCUGAGAGGAUGACCAGCCACACUGGAACUGAGACACGGUCCAGACUCCUACGGGAGGCAGCAGUGGGGAAUAUUGCACAAUGGGCGCAAGCCUGAUGCAGCCAUGCCGCGUGUAUGAAGAAGGCCUUCGGGUUGUAAAGUACUUUCAGCGGGGAGGAAGGGAGUAAAGUUAAUACCUUUGCUCAUUGACGUUACCCGCAGAAGAAGCACCGGCUAACUCCGUGCCAGCAGCCGCGGUAAUACGGAGGGUGCAAGCGUUAAUCGGAAUUACUGGGCGUAAAGCGCACGCAGGCGGUUUGUUAAGUCAGAUGUGAAAUCCCCGGGCUCAACCUGGGAACUGCAUCUGAUACUGGCAAGCUUGAGUCUCGUAGAGGGGGGUAGAAUUCCAGUGUAGCGGUGAAAUGCGUAGAGAUCUGGAGAUACCGUGGCGAAGCGGCCCCUGGACGAGACUGACGCUCAGGUGGCGAAAGCGUGGGGGAGCAAACAGGAUAGAUACCUGGUAGUCCACGCCGUAAACGAUGUCGACUUGGAGGUUGUGACCUUGAGGCGUGGCUUCCGGAGCUAACGCGUUAAGUCGACCGCCUGGGGAGUACGGCCGCAAGGUUAAAACUCAAAUGAAUUGACGGGGGCCCGCACAAGCGGUGGAGCAUGUGGUUUAAUUCGAUGCAACGCGAAGAACCUUACCUGGUCUUGACAUCCACGGAAGUUUUCAGAGAUGAGAAUGUGCCUUCGGGAACCGUGAGACAGGUGCUGCAUGGCUGUCGUCAGCUCGUGUUGUGAAAUGUUGGGUUAAGUCCCGCAACGAGCGCAACCCUUAUCCUUUGUUGCCAGCGGUCCGGCCGGGAACUCAAAGGAGACUGCCAGUGAUAAACUGGAGGAAGGUGGGGAUGACGUCAAGUCAUCAUGGCCCUUACGACCAGGGCUACACACGUGCUACAAUGGCGCAUACAAAGAGAAGCGACCUCGCGAGAGCAAGCGGACCUCAUAAAGUGCGUCGUAGUCCGGAUUGGAGUCUGCAACUCGACUCCAUGAAGUCGGAAUCGCUAGUAAUCGUGGAUCAGAAUGCCACGGUGAAUACGUUCCCGGGCCUUGUACACACCGCCCGUCACACCAUGGGAGUGGGUUGCAAAAGAAGUAGGUAGC
rnacentral:rRNA from 1 species